GGGGGCGAAUGGAUUCGACGGGAUUGAAGAAACGUUGAAUUGCGUGUCGUGGUUUUCAGGAGGGCCACGUUAAUAAACCUGAAACAUCACAAAUGCCAAUUCGUAUGGCACCGUUGCUUACGCUUAGUUAGGCAACCGUUCUCAUUGAAUGUUGUCUGUUGGUUUGAUGAGAGCGUCGUUUUAACAGACUAGCCCGGCACAUUGCCUGCAGGUGCUGAGCGAAACUUUAGCGGGCUGGCUUUUUCGGAAGUUUGUUUGUUGUCAACGAAAAAGCGAAACUUUACAACAAACUACACACGUAGUGGUUUAGCGCUUCUCUUUUUCGGACGGGAGUUCGAUUCUCCCCGCCUCCACGC
rnacentral:tmRNA from 1 species